AAAUGGAAAGACCAGGUUCAGGCUCUGCAGCCCAGCAGUUGGAGUGUACCCAUCAAUUCAUUCAAUUCCGAGAUGCAUUUUUUUCCAGGAUUUAAGAUGGUUUAAAAAAAAAAAAAAGGCACCACCACCAGCAACAACAACAACAAAAACCCUGGCGUGCCAGUCCCUAAUCCAGUUUACCCCUGUCAGAGUCCGUUAAAGACAGGAAGUUCUACUUUCAUUUCCAGGCACCUAUGAGACUGCAGAGAUGAUGCCUCUUGUGAGGAUGACAGCUGUCCAGAUACUGGAUUUCUGCCACCAUCUCAUUUCAAAGAGGCCACCAAACAGCUGUUAGGAGGCAAGAGUGUCCAUUUGCUACUGACCAGAGAAUUAUUCACCUCUGAAAAUAUCCAAAUUGUGGGAAUGUUAUGAACCAGGACUUCACAAAGAACAGAGCAGAAUACUGUCUCAUCAUGACGUGUGCACACUCCUCCAGGAUACAGAGGUCUCAGGAUGGACGAUUUGAACUCACCCUCUUCGGAGCCUGGCAUAACUGUCUUCUGAGAAGCUUCAUCUAGCAGCUGAUGGAAACACAUGCAGAGAUCCACAGCUAAACAAUAAGGGAGUUCGAGAAGUCUUGCAGAAGAGUUGGGAUGGAGGGAGAAUUAAGAGAGCUGGAGGACUGAAAGGACACCAUGUGACCCACAGAGUCAACUAAACUGGGGUCCCUGGGGCUAAUAGAGACUGAACCACCAGCCAAACAGUAUGCACAGGUUUGACCCCAGCUCCCUGCACAGAAGUAAGAGAUGUACAGCUUGUUCUUCAUGUGGGUGCCCUAACAAAUAGAAGUGGAGCUAUCUCUAACUCUGUUCCCUGCCUUUGAUUCCUUUCCCAUAGCUGGGCUGCCUUGUCUGGCCUCUGUGGGGGAGGAUGCUCUUAGUUAGCCCUGCUACAACUUGAUGUACCAGGAUGGGUUGGUAGUCAUAGCGGACCUCCCCUUCUUUGAGGUAAAGAGGAUGGGGAGUGGGUGAGGGGUGGGGUUAGAACUUGAAGAGAGGAGAGAAAGAGCUACAAUCAGGCUAUAAAGUGAAUAAUUGUUUCCAUUAGUGUACCCUUUAAUGACAUGAAGUACACAUACUGGCACAGAGUGAGAUUGCUUUUUAGAUCAUGAAAUGAUCUCAGUUUGCUCAUUCACACUCGUUGAAAGGAAUGUACCAUGAGGUAUGAGAGGAGAUUGCUUCCUAGAUCAUAAGAAUUUUCAGAUACAAGAAAUACAAUUAGUAAGAGCCCACACAGGUUCUCAAUACAAUGUCAACAUGCUUCAUAAUGUGUAGUUUUCAUUAGGAAAUCUCACUGGUUUGAGAAAUUAUGUAAAUUUAAAAAAUAAAAAUAGAAAUCAUAAGAAUAUAAAAGGUUUUAGUGAAAUUCAUGACAAUGGGUCUUGAUGCCUACUUUUCUAAAGUCAUUCUCCUCUCUAGGUUAUUAAAUGUCCCACAAGUAGCUGUCUUUCCCACUGGAAAUCUAGCAUCUUCUCAAUCACUUACAUUGAAGACCCCCAUCCCCCAAAUAGAUGUCUUAGAGAACUUUCUGGGAGAAAAUACAAUGCCCUGUCUCCAUUAUCAUUGAUGACUAGGUGACAUGUAGAAGGUGAAAAGGUGGUGUGUGUGUGUGUGUGUGUGUGUGUGUGUGUGUGUGUGUGUGUGCAUGUAUCUUCUUCUCUGCAUUUUCUCCAACUGAAGGUAUAAAGAUUUACCUGAUAUUAUUCUUGCAUCAUACACUUGCAUAUGCAUGUACAUUAAAUUAUGUAGUCAUGCGCUACUAUAUUAAAAAGCAUACUCCAAUAAUAUAUCUCAGUAUAUGAAAAUUGCUUUCUUUUCCUACAGUAUAUAAAAGUGCCAGGGCAAUCUGCUCUCUGUGCUCAGACACCAGAAAGCUAAACUUUGAGUGAUAUCCAACUUUAUGAGACACAUAAAGAUGAAAUAAAAAUGGGAAAGAAGAUAAACAUUUAAGGAGAUAAACACUGUCAAACAGAAAUGAUUACAAAGUUUGUAACAAUUUGUAUUUUUCAUUGUUUUCUGUGUACCUGGCUUUUCCACACUAUGAAUUUCUUUUGUUCAUUUCACCUUCUCUUAAUAUAUAAUGUUUGUUCCCAUAACCACGGACAUUAAAGUGAAGAAUGGGAGCCAAGACUCAGUUGAUAUUUAUUGAGAGAAAUAUAAGCAACUGGAAAAUGGAAAACUCUCCUUAUAUUAUUGAAUGCUUUGUCUAGCUACUUUCCUUUGAUAGCUCUGGAAAAUUGAACUCCUUUUCUAUACUGUCUGUGCCAUAUAGAAUCACCACAUUCAACCUAUUUUUAAUUUAUAAACUAGCAAUUCCCUAUUAUUUAAACAUAAUACAAUGUCAAAAAGCAGAAGGCAUGCUCACUGCUGUUGCAUCAGAGUUGUGUGUGUGUGUGUGUGUGUGUGUGUGUGUGUGUGUGUGUGUGUGUGUGUGUGUGUUUCUUGGUGAAAUGCAGAGAGGUAACAAGUUAUUGUUUCCAUUGGUGUACCCUUCCUAAAUGUUAAAUUUUUGUUUCAUUAAAUUUCAUCAUUUUAUGAUGAAAACAACAUUGUAACUUUUAGUGUUACCCAUCAAUAACUGUCAUUAGACUAAUACAACUCCCAAGAGAAAUCGCAUAUUAUUACAAAUUAUAUUCAUUAGUGUAUAAAAUAGAAACCAUAGAACCAUCUUCAAAACAACCUAACAUGUACAUUAGAUAUAUAAAAUAAUAGUCCUUAAAAACCCAGUAGGAUUCUAAGGUAGAAAAGUUUCUGUUUUUGUUUUUAGUUAAAAAUCAAUUGUGCUUACUGUGUAUUAGUAAGGAGGGGAGAGAACAGUGGACACACUUAGAGGUAAAUGAAAAAGAAGGCUGAAUGGGAGACCAACUAACAUAAACUUGCAUGAGACUGGGCUCUCAAGUAACUAAAAACCACCUGUGCUACAACCUAACCCUCUGAGGCUUUUCUUCUAUGUCUGAGAAGUUGAUAAAGUAGAUGAAAGAUCUUUAGAGUGCAGUGCAAUUCCUUCUCUGAGUAAGCAGUAUCUCUCUGCUCCUCUUAAGCCCACUUACUGUUAACAAGACCAUUAAAUGCUUGGAGUUCAAGUUAACCACUCGAUUCUAGGAUUCAUUUGGUGUGUUUCAUUGAGAAACAGUUAAAUAAAUUCCACAAAAUGUAUUAAAUGCCCUUAGACAGCAAUUCACUGCCUUAAUCCUAUGAUCUGCCGUUGCUAUAGUUACAGAAAUAAAACAAAGUAACAAUAAAGAAAUGUGAUAAACAGCAUAGCAUACCCAGGCCACAAGAAACAUGUUUAGUCUCUUGUCCCAUACUCCUCUACCCCUCUUCUCUGAGAUAAUGAUAGUACCAACAUGAAUAGCAUGAAAAGGAACCAUUGCUGAGCAUUACUGGAGGUCAUUGUACACCAGUCACUCUCUAAGUGUUUUAAAUAGCACUCAGUAAAAUGACCUUCAUAAAAUUCUUAUGGACUAUCUGUAGGUUCAUUUUGUAAAUGAGAAAACCAAGACUCAGGGAACAGUGAAUCAAAUCACCAAAGAUCACAAUCUGCCUCACAGUAUCCUGAUGCUGAAAGUGCCUGUGAGACACUCAGCAUGUGUGGCCCCUAGUGUGUCUGUAGCAGACUAAUGAAACUUUAUUUGGAAAGAGGGCUUCAUCCACUGAAACUUAUUUGGAAAGAGUGCCUUGACAGAUACGAUUACAUCAAGUAUCUUGAUAUGAGGAAAUUACCCUGGGGGUAAAUUCAUGAGGACCCCAAAAGCCAUUUCAUGCACCUUAGUAAAAUGCAGGCAGUGGUACGCCAAAAUGAUACAUUGUGCAGAAGCAGCAACAUCAUUAUCCUGUCACAGGACAGCCAACUGGUGACGCUAUCCUUACCCAAGCCAGUUCUGUUUCUAAGUAGAAAAAAAUAAUAAUUCAUUUUUAAAAAUGAAAAUAGGAUUAAGUCAUCAGAACCUGUUUUCUUGUAGCUACAUCAUGUGGCCAUCAUUAACAAUGAUACAACAAGCCCAAGAGUUCAGAGGCAAGGGAAUUUCUAGCUGUCAAUAAAAAUUUGGAGGAUAGCAUAAUUAACAGAGUUCAUUAUGUCUACUUUGUUCAUACUGCUUAAGUAAAGACUCCUCAAACUGAGGACUACUGGCUUUUUUUAAUGGGGAUUUUAUGUUCUUGAAUGUCUGCUGCUGUCUCUGUCAAGAGCACCCUAUCAUAUCAAAGUAGGACAAUCAACUAUGUGUUGCAGCAGUGUCAAAUGUCCCCUGAGACACAAAAUGGCACCAGUAACUUUUAGAGAAAGCAUUGGUAUUAACCAGUACACCUAACUUACAGAAAUGAGAUAUGUUGUUUUGUUUUGUUUUGUCUUGUUUUAAAUCAGAUCUCUGAGACAUUAAUGUUACUUUAGAUAAAUUAAUAAAUUCAUAGCACAAGCCAACAAGGGCCUCCUUCGCCAAUGAAGACAUGGCUCUCUUAAAGACUACGUUUAUUUUUAAUCAGUCAAGUGUUAUGGUUGACCUCUAGGCCAAAAGACAACUCAUGUAUAUUCUGUAUCUUUUUAACAGUUUUUCCCCUAGGUUUCUGGGAGUUAGGUUUUAAAGCCAACCCUGGAUUUACAUGGAUUACACUGAUACCCAGGACAGAUGUGUAUCCACACUAAGUUCUAUUCAUAUAUGUAUCUAGAGCACAUACAGAGAAGCUGUCCCUCCAUUAGACAUGAGCAGUAUCAUUCAUUUAAGUGGCUGACAGAUACAUUUUUAAUUUCCUGGAUCAUUUAGGAAUAGACGCAGGGAGAAAAAAAGACAGAAAGGAAGACCAACUGAAAUAGUUUCCCCAUUUCACCUUUCAAAAUGGGGGUUCUGAUGCUUUUAUAGCAGAUAGAACUAUAUCUAUCUGGCCUCACAGUGGUCAUAAGACAUCAGCUUGAAGAGAAUCAAGGGCAUGUGGGGCAGAGCUGAAGCCCUUUAUUUAAGAGAAAAAUAAUAGGCAUACAAAGUCUUUGAAACCAUCAGUAGAAUAAAUGUCUGAGUAGUGGGAAAAUGAUACAGUAUCUAGGCUAGGCAGCUGGUUCAUGGCAGGAGUGCUGGCUUCACAAGCAUGCGGUUUUGAAUUCAGAUUCCAGCACUUAUGCAAAAGGUCAGGUGUGACCACGUAUCUGUAAACAGGUAUAAGGCGUUAGGCAGUUACAGCCAGAUCUCCAGGGUUAGCUGGCUAUGUAUUUUAGAGCUCUAAGUUCAUUGAGAGACCCUGUCUCAAAUAAAUAAAAAAGAUAGAUAGAUAGAUAGAUAGAUA